GCGUUGGCAGACACGCACGUGCGGGGGACGCGUGCGGGGAAGGACAUGCGUGUGGCCACGCACACGCGUGUUUCAGGGCCGCGCGGCCCGUUCGCGUGUGCGACACGCUGCGCGCAUGCGUGGGGCAGCCUCGCACACGCGUGUGCAGUCCCACAUCGGCAUUCGAUGGCCCCUUCACACGUGGAGCAGCCCCCCACACGCGUGUGCAGCCCCCCACACGCGUGUAGCAGCCCCGCGUGUGCAUUUCACGGCCCUGCCACGUGCGCUGCCAUCCCACACACGCGAGUCGCAUCCCACGUGGGUGUUCAACGGCCUGUUUACACGCGUGGCCACCCCGCACACGCGUGUAGCAUCUUACAUACGUGUUCCGUGGCCAGUUUGCACAUAUGGCCACCGUGCACACGCAUGUGGCAUCCCACAUACGUGUUCAAUGGUGCCUUUGCACACGCAACUGCCACGCGCACGCAUGGGACAUGCCACAUAUGUGUUCAACAGCCUAUUCACGCGUGUAGCUGUCCUGUACAUCGUACAUGUGGCAUCGCACAUACGUGUUCGGCAGCCUAUUCACGCGUGUGGCCACCCCGCACACGUGUGUGGCAUCCCACAUAUGUGUUUGACGGGCUGUUUACACAUGUGACCAUCCCACACACGCGUGGGGCACCCCACAUAUGUGUUCAGUGGCCCAUUUACAUGCGUGGUCCUCCCGCACACGCGUGUGGCCUCCCACAUACGUGUUCAACGCCCUUUUUCUAUGCGGGGGCACUGCACACGCGUGUGGCACCCCACAUACAUGUUUACUGCCCGUUUGCACACACCGCUGCCCCACACACGCGUGCGGCAACCCACACACGUGUCCGCUGACCUGUUCACGCGUGCGGCUGCCCUGUGUAGGCGUCCGUGUGUGCAGCCACCCCGCACACGCGUGUGCCGCUCCGCACAGGUGUCUGCCGGCCUGUUCUCGCCCGCCACUGCCCCGCACACGCGUGUCGCCGCCGCACACGCGUGUCACCGCCGCACACGCGUGUCGCCGCCGCCGCUCAGCCCUCGUCGUCGCCCAGCAGCAUGUUGGGGAUCCCCUUGGAGAUGGGGAACUGGCGCCCCGAGUCCGGGCACUGCAGCACCCCCUCCACCACCUCCACCUGCGGGGGGGGGACGGCGUCAGCCUGGGGGGGGCCCCCCUUGCUUUAGGGACCCCCCCUCGCUUCAGGGACCCCCCCUCGGUUUCGGGGACCCCCCCGUUUCCCCGGGGACCCCCC
rnacentral:lncRNA from 1 species